GUCGAGGGGCAGCAUGAACUUAGCUUGCUAAGUUUGAUGGCGACCGGCGCACGGGUGAGUAACACGUAUCCAACCUGCCGAUGACUCGGGGAUAGCCUUUCGAAAGAAAGAUUAAUACCCGAUGGCAUAAUUCUUCCGCAUGGUAGAAUUAUUAAAGAAUUUCGGUCAUCGAUGGGGAUGCGUUCCAUUAGGUUGUUGGCGGGGUAACGGCCCACCAAGCCUUCGAUGGAUAGGGGUUCUGAGAGGAAGGUCCCCCACAUUGGAACUGAGACACGGUCCAAACUCCUACGGGAGGCAGCAGUGAGGAAUAUUGGUCAAUGGACGAGAGUCUGAACCAGCCAAGUAGCGUGAAGGAUGACUGCCCUAUGGGUUGUAAACUUCUUUUAUACGGGAAUAAAGUGAGGCACGUGUGCCUUUUUGUAUGUACCGUAUGAAUAAGGAUCGGCUAACUCCGUGCCAGCAGCCGCGGUAAUACGGAGGAUCCGAGCGUUAUCCGGAUUUAUUGGGUUUAAAGGGAGCGUAGGCGGACGCUUAAGUCAGUUGUGAAAGUUUGCGGCUCAACCGUAAAAUUGCAGUUGAUACUGGGUGUCUUGAGUACAGUAGAGGCAGGCGGAAUUCGUGGUGUAGCGGUGAAAUGCUUAGAUAUCACGAAGAACUCCGAUUGCGAAGGCAGCCUGCUGGACUGUAACUGACGCUGAUGCUCGAAAGUGUGGGUAUCAAACAGGAUUAGAUACCCUGGUAGUCCACACAGUAAACGAUGAAUACUCGCUGUUUGCGAUAUACAGUAAGC
rnacentral:rRNA from 1 species